CCGGAAUGGGAUGGCACAGCUUUGACAGGGAGAGAACGAAAGCAAGGGUGUAAGAAAAACCCUCAUUCCAUAACAUCAAAUAAAAUGCGAUUUAUGAGAAUUUAUGAGAACCAUUGAGCUCUUUAAAUCAGACAAUACAGUCCACUCAGCCCUGUUUUGGCACUUAAAAAAACCCAAAACACAGCUGCCAACAUACCACCACAGAAGGACUGCAGAGGAAACAAAAUGCCUUGGAUGUUUCUGGAUUGGUUUGUCCCUGUCUAUCUGCUGGUUUCUGUCCUCGUACUGGCUGGUUUUGGAGCAUGUCUGUAUUUCCUAGAGCCGGGUCUUCAGGACGCUCACAAAUGGAACAACAAGUCAAUGAGACGCCAACCCAUGGUCCCCAUGAGGCAAACCCAUUCCAGGGACGACGACAGCAAUGCUUUGCUAUAACAAAAGGAUCAAUGAGACUUUUGUGCUUAAUCAUUUAUUGAUGCUAUUACAUCAAAAUUUGUUUUUCAUUUAUUGAGUUUUUAUUCGCAACGAUAAGAUUUGGGUUUGUUGUAAGACAGUGGGGAUUUACACAACAAAAAAAAAACUUUUAAUGAUUAAUACAUCAAACAUUGUAUGUUACCCAGUCUGUGAAAACCCAGCUGAAGCAUUUUUUGGGAGUACUGUUUUCUACAUCAUACAUCAUUUUGCAAUCAAUUUAUUUAGUUACAUUUAAACAAAAUUUGAUUGCAAUCACUUACCUUAAAAAAAUUUAGUAAAUUGAAUGAAUCAUUUUUUUCAGUGGCCUGAAAAAUUUGGAAAAGCCACAUCCUGAGAUACAAAUAAUUGAGAUACUAAUUGAAGAAUAUACUUUUAGCAGUGUUUAUUACUUAACAAACUGUUUGUCAUAAGUCACCAAACUAGUGAUAGUCAUUUGUAACUUUGCAGCUACUGAUAAAAAACUGCCACACUGGAAAAAAAAAUGAUUCAUUCAAUUUACUCAAUUUUUCAAAGGUAAGUGGUUGCAAUUAAUUAAUUUAAGCUACAUUUAAACAAAAAAGAUUAGUAAAGUAAAAUACAACAAAAAACUUUUGUUUAAAUGUAGCUUAGAUAAAUUGAUUGCAACCACUUACCUUAAAAAUUGAGUAAAGUGAAUGAAUCAUUUUUUUUUCAGUGCCAUAUUUCUCAAGUUAAGGGGAUAGUUCACUUAAAAAUUUACAUUUUGUCAUCAUUUACUCACUCAUUGUUCUGAUGAAAACAAGAAAAAAUAUUUUGAGGAAUGUUUGUAACCAAACCGAUCAGAGGCCCCAUUGAUCUCUAUAGUAUUCUUUAUUCCUACUAAGUCAAUGGGGCCUCUGAUUGUUUUGAUAACAAACAUUCCUCAAAAUAUUGUCAUUUUUGUUUAUUAGCACAAAUAAUUUUUAUUAAUAUUAUUUUACUUUUUUUACAGAACAAAGAAAUGUAUACAGUAGAGUGAAUAAAUUAGGACAUAAUUUUCAUUUUUUGGUGAACUAUCCCUUUAACUGAAAACUUGUUUAAGGUGAAAGGCACAUAAUACCAGAAUACCUUAUUUGAUUUGUAUCAUCUAUUUUAAUGUGUUUAUCUUUGUAAAAACAAUGAUAUACUAAAAACACACUUUUAUUAGUGGUGUACCAUUGCUAUUUAAGGUCCUGGAUGUGUGUUAGUUAUUCUCAUGUUCCAGUAGUUUUGUGUUAAAAAAGUUAGUUUUGGACUGAUACAUUAUCUAGAUUCAAACCAGUUUCGUCUUUGUAGGUAAAUACUGAUAAACUUGAUGGUUUGUUAUCACUGCCACGUAUAUGCACAACUGUAUUAUCAAUUACAGCAUGUCUCUGUUUUACCUGUUUUAGCAUGUCUGCUAUUUUACAAAGCCUGUAAACAAAUGAAAUAAAUUUGGGGUACUUCGGUAUA